rnacentral:rRNA from 1 species
AUUGAACGCUGGCGGCAGGCCUAACACAUGCAAGUCGAACGGCAGCACAGAGAGCUUGCUCUCGGGUGACGAGUGGCGGACGGGUGAGUAAUGUCUGGGAAACUGCCCGAUGGAGGGGGAUAACUACUGGAAACGGUAGCUAAUACCGCAUAACGUCGCAAGACCAAAGUGGGGGACCUUCGGGCCUCACACCAUCGGAUGUGCCCAGAUGGGAUUAGCUAGUAGGUGGGGUAAUGGCUCACCUAGGCGACGAUCCCUAGCUGGUCUGAGAGGAUGAACAGCCACGCUGGAACUGAGACACGGUCCAGACUCCUACGGGAGGCAGCAGUGGGGAAUAUUGCACAAUGGGCGCAAGCCUGAUGCAGCCAUGCCGCGUGUAUGAAGAAGGCCUUCGGGUUGUAAAGUACUUUCAGCAGGGAGGAAGGCGGUGAAGUUAAUAACUUCACCGAUUGACGUUACCCGCAGAAGAAGCACCGGCUAACUCCGUGCCAGCCGCCGCAGUAA